rnacentral:lncRNA from 1 species
AAAGUGUUGGACAAAUUAACGAAACUUGUAGAAAGAUGGGCAAAAAGAAAGUUAACAAUACUUGGAAAAAUAUUAGUAGUAAAAGCUCUUCUUCUACCAAAUAUAACCUACAUUGCGACUAACAGUAUCAUUACUAAAGAAAAUCUACAAAAUAUAAAUAAAAUCUUAUAUAAAUUCAUUUGGAACGGAGGAAAAGAUAAAAUAAAAAGGUCAAUAAUAACAAAAAACUUCGCAGAAGGGGGG